rnacentral:tRNA from 1 species
GCCGGCGUGCAAUGGUUGCGGACCGGAUUCCAAACCCGCGUCAAGAGGGUUCGACUCCCUCCGUCGGUG